UCACUGUAGCCUCUUGCUACUGUGUGGUAAGAACUUAAUUCUUGUUCCAGCUCUUCUCCUCAAAGCCUCCAACUUUUUUGUUUAUCUGAUUCACAUUAGGAAUCAUCUGAGAUUGAUAUUCUAGUGAUUUUUGUUUCAAGUUUGAUUUUUCCAAUGAACAGGAUCAUUUUUAACAAUCCACAAAUCAUCAUGGCUAUGCUUUAUGUGGCACCUGAGGAUGAAACCUCGGGGUACCUCCUAAUCCCAGAAAGAUUUUCUAAGAUGCUUUUUCAAAAUAGCAUCAACCACCUUUAUAAACUUAUGUUUUCUAAAAGGUUAAUUGAAACUGGUUGGGGUCUCAAUUAUUAAUUACUUAGGACAUGACAGUCACUCAUUCCAUUGUGUGUCCUGGAUCUUGAGUUGUAUUAAGAAAAAGAAUGGAACAGGAUCAAGCAAUUCACGUUCAAAUCCUGACCCUACUGCUCAUGGGUUGGCUAACAUCUUCAAGACAUGAUUAUAAUGUAGAUCAGUCCUACUCCAAAGCCUGUGUGCCUUCCACUAAACUGCAAAAAUAUUUUUUUGGAAGGUUCAUGCACUGUAUUAUUCAAAUGUUCCAAGCAGAAAUAGAGUUUCUCUUUCUGUUAAGAAAAAUCUUUGUUAAUGCACCCAGGGUAAUCCAAAUCCAUCUAAACAUAAUGGACUAAGGCUUGAAUAUUUCUUUUUACAAAAUAGCAUCAGUUGCGUGGCCUAGGCACCUGGGCAUAUAUUUCACUUCCUUUGGGGUAAGCUGUCCUUUUUUAUUGUAGGUGGAAAAUUGCUAGCAUUAAUAUAGUCUUGGACCAGCUAAUGAUGUGCACUUGACCCCUCCCAGCAAGAACAGGGCCUCAUUGCCUUUGCAAGCAGCCACCUGCAGGCAUAUGAAGGAGACGUCAGAGCUUCUAAUACUGCUCAGUUGUCCCCGUGGACAUGCAGUUGAGUUCAGAUGUUGAAUAUGCGUAGGGGUGUGGGUGAGCACUUGAUUUAUAUGCAUAAGAUGAGGACUGGGAAAAAGAAGGCAAAGAAAGGCAAUCAUCCUUACUGCAGCCUAGCCAUAGCAUUCAAACCUUUGAAGAUAUAUCUUUAAAGCCAUUACAGAUGUGCACCCCCACUGUGAUAUCCCAGAUAAUCUCUUCUUUGGAGAAGCUUGGGACCAAGUUACAUGGCUAAGGAUUGCCAUGAGUUCCCAUAGGACUGGACACGCCAGGCAGUCCUAACAAUCCUAAACAGUGUGCUUGCCUGUUUAGUUUCUUGGGAAGUCAUUCAAAAUGAAGCUAGUUUAGUAAAAUGAAGUGAGAAUAAAUAAAUGAUGGCAUUCUUUAUUUGGAUGUCUUUAUGGUCUACCUUUAAAAAAAAAACCCACUUUGAAAAAAAGAAGUGACCUCCUUUGAUUUUAUUUUUAUGAACUGAAUUAUAAUACUAACUAGAGAUUGGAGGAGUUUUUUUUUGUUUUUUGCUUUGGUAAAACAUCUCGAAAGAGAACAAAACUGGAAUUAUAACUGAGCAGGGAUAAAAUAAUGAUGACCAGUUAGCUGAACACAUUAGAAGUGAUCUAUAAAUCUAAGAAGAAAAACUCAUCUCCUAUUAGAAUUUUAAAAUUCUGAUAAUUUUAAAAACAAUAAAUUUUUUUUGGAGUUCCUAUGGUGGCUCAGUUGUUAACCAAUCCGACUAGGAACCAUGAGGUUGCGGGUUCAAUCCCUGGCCUUGCUCAGUGGGUUAAGUAUCUGGCAUUGCUGUGAGCUGUGGUGUAGGUCGUAGACACGGCUCAGAUCCCAUGUUGCUAUGGCUCUGGUGUAGGUCAGUGGCUACAGCUCCAACUGGAAUUCCUAGCCUGGGAAUCUCCACAUGCCGUGGGUGUGGCCCUAGAAAAUGCAAGAAGACAAAAAAAAUAUUUUUUAAGAUUAUUAUUUAGAGUUCCUUCUAAAUAAUAUUUUUUUAAAAAUGCUCUAGCAAUCUGAAAUAGGCACUAGAAGUUAUUUAUUACAGUGCAAGAAGAAAAGAGAGAAAGUCUGUUUCAUAAUUUUAGUUUGGUUUGAUAGCAUUUAACCUCUGGGCUCCCAUGGAGGAGAAUGCAUCUUUUAAGAGUCCAUCUCAGGAAAUCAGUACCAUUCUUUUCUACUUCUGCCCUUUUCUUCCUCCCUUGGUCUACUUUUUAAAAACCUCCCUCUAUCUGACAGUUUCCUUCUCUUGCUUUUGGCAACAUAGGUGUCAUACAGAAAUAUGAUUACAGUCCAAGGAAACCUCCUUAGCCUAUGGUUUAAAGGGGAACAUUCUCAAGCUAAAUAAAGACAUCUGGGUCUGUGGCUGAUGCUACGGCCGUCGAGGUGGUGACACUGGGCAGAAUAUGUACUCUCUUGGCAUUGUUUUCACCGCCGAUAAGAUGGGGAUGAUGACAAUUGCAACUCCAGAAAGUUGUUGAGAGAAUUCAGUGAUUUCAGUUAUGUAAAGUAGUUCAUUAACAUAGAGCCUUGCACAUUGGAACUGCUUAUUAAGGACGGUAAUUACUGGUUUGACUUUCAAGAGACCAAAUGAACAAGUUCUUCCUUAAUAAAAUGGUAGCCUCUAAUUUCUCCACAGGCUUUACUAGAUUUGUGUUAUGUUUAUAAUUUCUUAAUUCAGAUAUAAUUACAUACAGUUAAAAAUACUUAAGUGUUCAAACUGAUGUAUAUAUACAUACAUAGCCAUGAUCUGAAUAUUUGUGUCCCCACAAAAUUCCUAUGUUAAAAUCAUAAACCCUGAAGGUAAUGGUAUUAGGUGAGACCUUUGGGAGAUGAUGAAGUCUUGACAUGACGCCCUCAUGAAUGGGAUUAGUGCCCAGGAGACCCUACAGGGUUUCCUAGCUCCUCCCACCAUCAAGGAUAUAGGAAGUCUACAACUUGGCAAAGGUCCCUUGCCUGACCAAGCUUGGCUCUUGGAUCCAGGCUCCAGAACUGUAAGCAAUACAUUUCUAUUGUUUACAAGCUACCCAGGCUAUGGUAUUUUAUUAUAUAACCUAAAUACACACACACACACACACACCACACAUACAUAGAUAGAUAGAUAGAUAGAUAGAUAGAUAGAUAGAUAGAUAGAUAGAUAUCCAUAACCAUUACCCCCAUUAAGAUAUGGACUCUUGGAGUUCGCGUUGUGCCUCAGUGGUUAACAAAUCAGACUAGGAACAAUGGGUUGUGGGUUCGAUCCCUGGCCUUGCUCAGUGGGUUAAAGAUCCGGUGUUGCUGUGAACUGUGGUAUAGGUCGCAGACACAGCUUGGGUCUGGCUUUGCUGUGGCUCUGGCUUAGGCCGGCAGCUACAGCUCCGAUUAGACCCCUAGCCUGGGAACCUCCAUAUG
rnacentral:lncRNA from 1 species